UGCAGUUUCUUUGGGAAAUGCUAAUUGCAAGACUCUAAUUGCAAUCGUUUGAAAAUUAACAUAAUAAGAGAAGUGUUAAACAUUUAGUUUGAUCACCCAAAACAACAGGAACUGGAGAGUAUUAAGUUUCAAGAUAGGGACAAGAUGUUAAACUCAUUGGUUAAGAUGUGUACAACUCCUAACUCCAUUUUCUACAUAGGUUAACAAAAUGCCAGGUUUUUGAAAACAGUUUGUCUUGGAACUGGAAGGAGAUGCUGAAUGCUCAAGACUUGCAGGUCCUCCUGACAGAAGCUGGACUGACCACGAACAUCCAGGUUUCCUCUGUUUUGAAGUAUCUCAUGGCUGCUUGCUUUUGACGCCAGUAAUGCUGCAGGAAAGAAUUUCUACUUUGAAGCUGCUCUUGGGACGUAUCUUUAAAGCAGCCUGGGGAAGCCUGGAUAUGGUUUCGGAA